rnacentral:lncRNA from 1 species
UGUGUGUAUGUGUCCCUGUAUGUCAUGGCAUACAUGUGGAGGUCAGAAGGCAGCUGAGCCAUCUUGCUGGUACUAAAACAUUACGAUUUUUAAAAUUUCUUUUGUGUGCAUGGUAUGUGUGCAUGCCAUGUAUGCUUGUGGAAUCCAGAGGACAGCAUUUGGGAAUCAGCUCUCUCUUUACAGCAUGUGGUACCUGGGUUUGAACUUGAGCUGACAGGCUUUGUGGCACUGAGCCAUCCCACCAACCCACACAUUCCAGUUUUUUGACCUAUGUACACUAAUUUUUUUUUCUGUAUCCACACAUGAAACCACCACCUGGAUCAAGAUGGAAAAAACCUGAUGUCCCAGAGCCCUCCUUCAACACCUGUCAGCGGCUCAGUGCCAUCAUUGGCUUCCUUCACCUUCCUUUGUGGACUUUGUUGGAAUGGAUUCACACAGUGUGGUCUGACCAUAACCCCUCAGGAUUCCCAUCCUGGAAGCUCAUCCUCAGUGUGGUGGUGUGGUCCUCGAUGUGGUGGUGUGGAGGAGGCAGAACCUCUAAGUGACUCCUUAACUCUUGAAGUACCUAAUGUGAGGUAAUUAGGUCAUGGGGGACUACCCUUGAAGUAGUUAAUGAACUACUUCAGGGU